rnacentral:tRNA from 1 species
UCCCCGAUAGUCUAGUGGUGAGGAUAUCUGCUUGUCAUUGAAGUCCAACGAUUCGCAGGGGACCGGGGUUCAAUUCCCCGUCGAGGAG